GUAGUCCACGCCCUAAACGAUGUCAACUAGGUGUUGGUAGGGUAAAACCUAUUAGUACCGUAGCUAACGCGUGAAGUUGACCGCCUGGGGAGUACGGCCGCAAGGUUAAAACUCAAAGGAAUUGACGGGGACCCGCACAAGCGGUGGAUGAUGUGGAUUAAUUCGAUGCAACGCGAAAAACCUUACCUACCCUUGACAUGUCCAGAAUCCCUGAGAGAUUGGGGAGUGCCUUCGGGAACUGGAACACAGGUGCUGCAUGGCUGUCGUCAGCUCGUGUCGUGAGAUGUUGGGUUAAGUCCCGCAACGAGCGCAACCCUUGUCAUUAAUUGCCAUCAUUAAGUUGGGCACUUUAAUGAGACUGCCGGUGACAAACCGGA
rnacentral:rRNA from 1 species